UCUCAGAAGUUGGUUCUCCAUCAUCUUUGCUGUCUUUGUGUCAUAUGAACUAUGGGCUAAACUCUCUUGUACUUUAGCAAGGGCUUCAACUUCUUUAAUCUUUCUAUUCUGGAUAGAUCAGGCAUGGGCAGGACACAUCAAACACUGAGAUUUUUCUAAUUGCUUUGAUCAACACUGUUGAUGGGGUACAUCCAACAAAGGUGUUGGAUGAGUGUACGUGCUUUAAGUCCGCUUUCUGUGUUACAGCAACACAGACAUAGUCAGAUUGGCAGAUGACAUUUCCUGAACUAUAAUAACUCUGAAGUAUUUGCUCUCAUUUUUAGCUUGCCUGAACUGCCCUCUCUGGAGGGAAGGACAACAAAUUAAGAUUUUUUUCUUCUAUAAAUGCAAGAUCAAAAAGCUCUUUCUUCUCUUCCCCUCUACUGGUGAAUCUGCAGCUCAGAGUCUCCGUGCAGGAUUGCCAGCUGAAUUUAUUCAAAGCUGGCCCGGUGAGGCAAUCAACUGUGUCCAAUAAGAAGAGAGAGAGAGCCUCCUUCCCUCCUGUUUGCCCCAGCAGCUGUUGAUGGAGUGCACCUGUUUCCCACAGCCAAGUAGAAGCUGUUGAGCAAGGAGUAGUGAAUGCUCUUUCAUCUGAGUGCCGCUAUGGAUGGAGUUGCACGGAGUCCAGGAUAAGUGAUUGCACCUGUGAGAAGACAUCUAUCUCAGCACACCUGAAUUCUCUUUCCACGAUUCCUUGACUGAAAUAACAAUGAGAAUGAGAUUGGUUCCAUGUGAGAUUGCUGCGUGUUUUCCUAAGGCCCAAGCUCCUGGAGUCAGAUCUGAUUGCUAACUGAAGAACCUGAAAACAACAGAACAACCGGUGCUGUAGAUCUGUUAUGAGGAAAAUCCAAGUUCUGAUCCUGGAAGGCAGUGAAAUCCCGCUCCUUAUGUUAUGAAGGCAUCUUCUGCAUAGAGUCUACAUUGCUUGAUUUAUACACAGUCAUUUGGAGGACCUCCACACUUCUAUCUGUCAUCCCAGGAUGAGGUGUGAACAAUCCAUUUACCCAGUGGGAAAUUAAAGAAAACCUGAAGUAAGGAGAAUAAUCGGAUUGUUUCAGUUCCUGCCUCUAUCAGUUGCUAUUCUGUGCCUCCUCUCCCUGCAGUGCGACACAGUGAUGUCUACAGGCUUUGAGAAGUGAAGGUCAAAUUCUUCCCUCGUGUGAGACUCCAUGUGCAUACAGGAGGGGAAAGUCCUGGUCCUACAGAUGAUAGGGUACGAGAAGAUAAGAAAGCAAUGGAAAAGGGCCCACCGUACCAUGAGAUCAACAAGAUUAGAUAUCUUUGUAACCUGCUCACCAGCUGAAUGUGAUAUUCAGGUUGAGACAAGAAGCUAAGAACAACUGACCUGCAAGAUUAAGAGCAGGAGUCAUUGCAGCAUGUACCCAGAUGACGUAAAAGGACACAGAAGUUUAAGAGAGUGCAUUGUGGACAUGAAAUAAAAUUUUAAUGUGAUCACCUUGAUUCUUCUGAGACUGGAGGAAAAGAAAUAAAGAGCUGCCAAACAACCAGUUGCUUUUAGGGAAUGGCCAGCACGGCACAUAAAACUGUGGUACGUAUUCCUGUGCUAAUCCCAGAAUCAUUUGAGUUGGAAGGGACCAUUAAAGGUCAUCUGGUCCAGCCGCCUGCCAUGAACAGGGACACCUACAGCUCGAUGAGAGUGUUUGGGACCUCGUCCAGCCUGACUCUAAGAUAAGAGGAAAUCCACAGGAGUAAUACAGCUGCCUUGGAUUGAGAAGAGACCUGUGACCUGUUGGAGCCAUUGGAAAAAUUCCUGCUGAUUUCCGAGGGACUUUGACUCAGGAUCUGUGUCCACGAUGUCAUGCAGCCAGAAGGAACAAGCCAAGAAAGAUUUAUGAAAUUUGAAGUAUAACGUGGAUGAAUUUGGCUCUAUCUCAGCAAAGCAAGGUACAGUGCAAGCUUUGUCUUUCAGGAGUCUUACUGGGAGAAAAGCUCAGUUCGAUGAACUAUCACCGCCAGAGGAGUUAAGGGGACAACCUCUAGGCUGCAAAUAACUGCCAGAAAGAGAGAUGCGAAGGUAAGCAGUAACUUUGGCACAGAAAAAACCAUGUAGCCUUACAUGGAUUCACAUUUGUUUUCCUCAGUCAGUGGGUAGGAAAAUAUUGCAUUCAGGUUUUUAAUGAGAUUUUGGCAGAGGUCUUAUAAAGCAGACAAAGAGUCAUUUCCAAGUUUCUGCACAAAGGUUUAUAUAAAGUAAAAAUAAACAGUCCCGUUUGCAGUAUUUCUCACCCUUGUUGAAUUUGCAAAAACCUCUGUAAACAUUUGUACUCUCAGCAUUUCCUUUUUGAUUAACUUUGACACAAAAGGUGGAUUUGUUGAGAUCUUUCAGGCAUCAGGCAAUCUAAAUUGUUCUGUUCUGCCCCAGUGUGCAAAAGGUAAAACCUACAAAAUAAUGAAUUCUGUUUUUCAUGGUACAGUAGCUUGAAAAGUCUAAGAGCACUGUUGAAGGCUUUUUUAAAAGUCAAAUUAAGUGCCAAUUCCCAUUGUCUGUCGUCAAAGUAAGCUUUGCAUGAAUGAGAAGGAGACGAUGUGUUGUUAGAAGGCUUUGAAAUUUGGAAGAGAAAAAGUAAAGAAAAAUAAAAAAUUAAAAAUCAAAGAACAAACUAAAAACAACACCAGAGCCUUCUGGUAAAAAAAAUUCCAUGUACGCAGAUAUGUGUUCUUAAGAUUUCAGAUGCAUGCUGUAUGCCUUUCAGAAAGGGGGUCUUUCACAGAACUCAACGAGUCCGCUACAACUUGGAAGGGAAUGGUGUGUGGUGCCCUUGUGCAGAUAACGUAAAUCUGAAAUGAGAACAGGAUGUAACUGUUAUGUUGAAUGACGUGUGUACAGGAGAGUGCCACGGAUAUUUUUUUUUUUCAGCUUUUGCAGAAUUCAACUGUUAAUUCCCCAAAUCAUUAUCCAUAUUUUUUAAUGAGAAAACAAUUCAGCUUCCUCUUCCUUACGAAGACGAUGCACUUGAGCAAGAAGUAGGGUACCAGAUAUUCAGUGUACUUCAGAAAUAGUUCUGAGACAGCAAAGGACGAUGAGAACAGAGUAAAAGUACUUUUUCUCUCAAGUUUUCCAAGGAAUGUGGAGAACAUUCCAGGUUUUGCUUGCUAGCAAUUGAAUAUUUAAUGCCAAGAGGAAGAUGUGAGAUUUUUGUUUCAUUAGGCUUAGCAGAGAUAAUUUCAGGCAUGCAAUUGGUUUGUUUUCUAAAAGGCAGCUUGUCAUUGAAAAUGAAACUCUGCUUUGAAUUGCAAUGUGAAAUUUAUGACGUCAAAAUUUUUGACGUUUGAAUCUUAAUCUGUCACAACAUUGCCAGCCCUAUGAGAUUAUGCAUGAGCUCAAAACAUAAUCUAUAAAAAGAAAAGAGGAAAAAAGAAAAACAAAAAUGUUAAGAGACAAUGUGCAAAAGAAUACAUGCUCUUCUCUCCUUUGUUCUGGCAAAGGAAGGUAAGGUUCUGGGGGUAAGUAACAUAGAUUGUUGUAUGAUGGGGCCUUCCUUCCACCAUCCCAUCCCACAGCCCCCCCUCCCUACUUCCACCCCCCAAAAAUAAAGAGAAUAUACUUACAGUCUCCUUAUCAUAGCUUUUGUCAGAGUUAUUGCUUCUUGUAAACUUUUAAUACGAAAAUCUAUAAUACAAAAUGUAUGGGAACUCUUGAAUCACACCUGAACCUCUAAUUGACCACCUGAGGCAAGCACUGAGUAAGCUGCAGGCGCACAGGUGAAGGCAGUUCACCUGCAUGACAGGAAAGGGUGGAGCCAGGCUCCACCUCUCCUAGACCCCCUUUAAGGGCUGACUGCCACUGAGGAAGGAUCUCUCUCUGGAGAUCGCUUCUUGGAGUUCUUUUUGGCAAGCCCAGGACCCAGGUAAGCUUUCCAUUCAUCUCUGAUUAUCUGUCUCUAAUGCGAUAAUCUUUCUAGUCUAACAUGUGCACUUACUGACCUUACACAAAUCAUAAGAAUUCUACUGUACCUACACGAUGAUUUGAAUGAAAUUAUUUUUCAGAUAAAUUUUCUUCCAUGUACAGUUAACAUUUAGUCUGGAUGAUUCAGGGGAAAGACUCCUAGUGUUAGUGUGUGUUUUAGUUCAAGCUUUUAGACACAAAAGGUAUUAUGAUCAUGUGUUUUGUUUGGCUUUGGAGUUCUUUACAUCACCAGUCCAGGAGGAGCUCAUAAUUAAUUACUUUGAGGACAGAAAUAUAAUAGGUAAUAGAUGCUAAGGAAAUCUUUACUGUUUUUUUUUCUUCGGAAUACUCUUAAACUCCUUUCAGUUCUAUCCAUUUACUCUACUAUCAUUACGCAACUAGUAUAUUAACUUGAACAGAACAGAAGCAAAAAUGAAGACAAUUAGAUGCAUUUUUUUGGACCACUGAUAUGUUUUUUCAGGUACUACAGCGCCAAAAGAUUUAAGAUAUCUUGGGGCACAGUGAGAAGUUUUCAAAGCAAGCAAAAAAAAAACAAAACUAAUAGCUGUUGUGGAUAUGCUCACAUCUUAGGCACUUCUACGCUGCUAAAACAAGUUUAGACUAGAAACAAAGAACACUGACCUACAGCCACUUCACAUCCUCUCAUUCACCCUCCUUUUUUCAGUCAACAUCAUACACAUCAUGAGUAGAAAGAAGAUAUUAUUUAGACAACCAGGAAUCAUUCAGUCAAACUCAGAUGGAUUAUAAUUUCCACUGGGAUAGCACUUGUGUUUUUCUUUGUUUUUUUUUUCCCUGAACUUAUGCAAAUGUGUAUCUAUUUGAGAUCAGAAGAUUACAGAAUAACCAAAGUUGAAAGACAGCUCUGAAGGUCAUCAAGUUUUCUUCCUUGCUUAAAGCAGAGCCAACCUCAUUGUUAGGUCAAAUUGCCAAUAGAGCUCAUGUGGUUAAGUACAGCAGUAUGAUCUCUGCAAGGAGCGCUAAAAGUAAAUGAACUGGGACUCUGGUUAAGAUUUCACUAAGGUUUUGCCAUAAACUGUACAACCCACUUGGGGUCUGAAACCAAUACUCACUGAAGUCCAUGGAAAGACUCCCACCAAUAGCAAUGAGCUUUGGAUAAGUCCUUUUGUGUCUUUGCUCUAUCUAUGUGAAGAAAAGAGACAAUGAACUAUAGGAUAAUAAUAUUUCUGUAUCGCUGUUGGAUAUGGGGAGGAGGAAUUGAACAAAUAUCUGUUGGCUACUUGAAUGCUGCUUCUUUUUACUCCGUUGUCUUCAAAGCCAUAUUUAUAUUUAGAUUGAUCUUUCUAGAGAAGCUAUAGGGCCCUGUUACUGUUGAUCUGAACAGCUCACAACCUUUUAUGCUCUUAGCCUCACAGCAUCCUUCUUAUGUAGGGAUGCUCUUUCUUACGUAGGGAUGUUCUAUUAUCCAGGCUUUACUGAUAGAGAACAGAGAUACUAUAGCUCAGAUGGAUUCCAGUGGGAAUAAAAUGCCUACUUACCUUUAUAACUGCACAUAAACGGCUUGCCCAAGGUCAUGCAAGCAGUCUGUGGAAAACUGAGAGUCCCUAUAUUUUGAAUUCCAGGUGAGCCCCCCUCUGCCUUAAACUGAAAGCUUUUUCCUGGAAUCCUGAGCUGAGUGUAAGGAAGGCAUUCAAAAAUGUAGCAGACUUCAAAGACAGAAAAGAGUAUCAGAGCGUAAGAAGCUUUUGACUAAAAGAAGUCAAAAGUGGCUGAAGGGGUUGAAAAUUAAAAACUGGACACCACAUAAACCUGCGCUUUUCAAGAGUUCCAGCUGAGAUUAGCAUGGUAAUCAUACAAAUAGAUUUAAUCUUUUGAGAUCAUAGAAUCACAGAAUAGAUGAGGUUGGAAGAGACCUCAAAGAUCGUCAUGCUCUAACUCCCCUGGCAUGGACAGAGCUGCGACCCACCAGAUCAGGCCAUCCAACCUGGCUUUGAAUGCUUCCCAGGGAUGGGGCAUGCAAAACAUCUCUGGCCAGCAAUACUCCAGCUGAGGCCUCAAGAAGGCAGAGUAGAGGUACAAUCCCUUCCCUCUCCCAGCUGGCCACUCCUUUUUUUGAUGCAGUCCCGGUAACAGUUGGUCUUCCAGACUGUAAGCAAACUCUGUUGCCUCAUGUUCAGCUUUUCGUCCAUCAGGACUCCCACCUCCUUUUCCCCAAGGCUGCUCUCAAUGAGUUCUCCAAGUCUGUACGUAUAUCUGGUUCGCCCUGACCCAAGUACAGCAUCUAGAAUGUGGCCUUGUUGAAUCUCGUUUAGUUCACAUAGGCCCUCUGUUCAAAGUUGUCAAGGUCUCUCUGGAUCGUAUCCCUUCCUUCAUUUGUGUAAACUGCACUGCUCAGCUUGGCAUCAUCAGGAAAUUUGCUGAGGGUAUACUCAAUCCCACCAUCAAUGUCAUUGAUAACAAUGGUGAAGAAUGCCGGUCCCAAGAUGGAGCUCCAGGGAAUACCACUUGUCAGUGGCCUCCACCAGCCUUCUCUGUUGACAGUAACCCUCUGGCUGUGAUUAUCCAACAAACUCUUUACAAUUCUUUUUAGCCCAACCGUCAAAUGCAUAUUUAUCCAAUUUAGUGAUAAGGAUAUGGUAUGGGACCGUGUAAAAGGCUUCGCACAAGUCCUGGUACAUGCUAGCUAUUGCAUAUCACUCUGGAAGCAAUUAGAGAUUUCUCAGCCAGUUGAAAAUGGACAGUGAAGUCUAGAAAGAAAUUGAUAUCAUGUAGGUUAAGGAACCAUGAUCAAACUUGGAGCAAGGGAAUGUGCAGUCUUGCCAGGUUAGAAGCCAGAUUUUCAGACCAGUACAGCACAAAUAAAUAGAAUAAAGCUUUUCAAUAUGGUUCUAUUACAAAGGUCACUUAAUAGGCACCUAAAUUCAAAAUAAGCACUACAAGAAGUAAGUCAAGUUUGGAUCUCCUGUCUCUAUGAGUUUAUGCUGUUACUGAGAAUUUGAUGAACAAUAACAAGGAAGAAGUUGGCUGUAGAAUACUGGCUUAGGUCCACAGUAUUCACCUUUCAGUGAACUAUCAUUAGAAGAAGCUACUGUUAAUGUUUUACCCAUAUAACAGUAGAAAUAAAUUAUGAAUGGACACGUAUAUAAAUUCUACAUUCCCAAAAUGACAAAAGUGUAGCCUGUCAGUAUUGGACAGGUUCCAACUUCAAUAAGAUUGAAGAAGACACAAAACAGGGUUGAUAGAUGAGAUUGUUGUGUCACUAUUCAGAGGGACCUUGACAAGCUGGAGAAAUAGGGAAAAAAGGAACCUCAUGAAGCUCAAUGAAGAAAAUGCAAAAAGGCCUAUAUUUAUGCUAGGAAUAACCUCAUCCACUAGCACUGACAGGGCUAACCAAUUGGAAAGCAGCCAAAGGGCUAAGAUCUAGGGAUACUGGGGGACAAUAAGCUGAGCAUGAGACAGCAGUAUGCCCUCACAGCAAAGGUGGCCAAUUUUAUCCUGGCAUCCAGAGCUGUCUUGGGAAGAGCGAUGCCAGCAGACAGAUGUUCUUUCUUUGUACCCUGCAUGGGUUUUCUGCAACUGGAGUAUAGGGUCCAGUUCUAGGCUUCCCAGCAGAAGACAGACACAGAUUUACUAUAGCAAGCCCAGCAAAGACCUACAACGAUGAUUAAAGGGCAGGAGCAUCCUUCAUAUGAGAAGAGGUUGAGAGAGCUGGGCCUGUUCAGCCUGGAGAAGACUGCGAUGUGCAAUUCAGGGAGGGUAUAAGGAAUCUCCGUAACACAGCUGUGAGAUUUAACUUGGCAAAUGAAUUCCUGACACUGAAGAUAAAAGUCUGAGGAAUUUCAUUUAAUAUGUGAAGAAGAAACCAAAUCUAGGAUUAGGCUGAAAUUAAAUUGACUUUCUGGGAUUAAUUGUGUGGUUCCUGGUACAGCAAUAAUAUCUCCAGUCAGCUGGAUGAGCAAGUUUAUGGCUCUAAUGCCAUUACAGAAAAUUAUUGCUACCUUAUUAUUACUAGCAGAAAAUAUCUAGAAACUUUGGAGAAAAGAGAAAAAAAUGGAGAAGGACAUAUCCAUUAAAAGUUAUCUAGAGACAGAUCUGUGGUGUUCAAUGGAACUGAAUGCCAAACCCCUGGAGAUACAUCUGGGCUUUCUGACAUUGCAAGAAACUUGUACUUGUAAAAUUGCUCCUAUUUUUUGGCUACAUCUAGUUUUCCCCAUGAGUCUGAGUUGCACCUUGUAAGUUUUCUCGUUACAUGUUUCAAGGUCUUUGUGCUAUUUUCCAUCUGCUGGUUAGAAAGUCUUGGUUUUAUUGAUUUGUUAUCUACAGGUGAAGCUUUAUGCAGAGGUCGUGAUAUGAGCAAUGCUUGUUUUCAGCACUACAGAUGAAACUUGACAAAAUGAGAUUUUAGUUCAGCUCUGCUUUGGGCUGAAAAGCGUCAGGUCCUCAAACCCACCCAACAGAGGUUUGAAAGUUUGCUGCACUUUUUAACAAACGUGUUCUAAUUAAGGAGAAAAUCAGUUCCUGUCUUUAACCGAUGCAGUGCAAAAUGCACUGCUGUCAUUAUAUACAAUUACAUUGCACUAGUAGACAUUUAGAGGACAUCUACUGUUUCUGUCUAGCUACCGGUCCUGGAGGCCUUGGGUGCUAUUAAUAAAGCAUAUAAAUUGAAGUAGUGAAACAGAUGGCAAGCUUCAUAUGGAGGUCCGAUUCUAACGAAGGACUAAAAUCUUUAUAAUCAAGGAAACAUUCAGAAUCUUACUGGGAAUGCAUGAGACUUAUAUAAAGAAAUAAGACUUAACCUGACAGCAAAAUAGAGUUGUAAAUUCCACAUUUCUGGCAAAGUUUUCCCAGUCUUAUAAUAGCUUUGCAGUGUGAAAGGGUAAAUUCAAAAAACGUACAUGCACAGAGCAUGCGAAAUUGUGCCCUCGGUGCUAUACGUAACAGAAAUAUUCCUUGCAGAAUUCAAAUAGAAAAGGACAGGGAGUGCAAUAAGGGUAGAGAGGAUGAAGGCUCACAGCGCUGUUCUUCUUAUCAUUAGGAAACAGAAAUGGCUUCAGAGGAGCAAGCUACAGUCAGCAAAAUGAUAUCAUUAGGCCAAGAUGCCACCCUGUGCAGCCACAUAGGCAAUAUGAAUCACUUUACUGGAGUGAGCAAUGGGAGAAGCUAACAUUGCUGUGAGUACAAACAAGUAAAGCUGCCAAAUUUUUGCACUGAUGAUCUAUUUAAGUAAGAGUAGUAGACUGCUUGGGAUAACCCUUAGAGCUAUAUCAGCCACACAUACAAAAAACCUAGUUCUAUUAAAAAGCCAGCACACAACACAGGUUAACUCAAACACUCUUAUAAACCAUGAUUCAGGAAUGUUUUUAGUAAAACCUACCUGUGACCUUGCCCAAAGUAAGUGAUUUGAUGGCCUUAAAAUCAAUCUCAGAAAAGUUGUGCUUGAGUUUGAUGACUUGAUCAACCUGGAAGAGGUCAGUAAAAUUAGUUCGUUAGAACAGCAAGUAGACACACCUAGACCUUUGUCAUGCAAACUCAUGGGAAGAACCUCAGCUGCAAAUAAUUCUACCCCCAAGCAUGAUUCAGUUUCUAAAGAUAGCAAAGUGAAUAUGCUUUGAUUUUUGCAUGAGAAGCUGAAAGGGGCACAAGAAUAGUCAUAUAAAGAGCCUUAGAGAAAACUUCCCCUGCAGAAAAGUUUAAAUGUUUGAUACUGAAACACCCCUGAUUCCCAAAAUCCACAUCUAGGCACUGCAGGGUGCACACAAAGGAGGCCUCUCUAUAAAUGUACUGUGGAGAAUUAGUUCUGUAUAGAAGAAAACCACAGUGCAACAGACAAUAGAAGACUGCUACUUGAGGAGAACCCUGACAGUUAGUGCAAACCUCCUUCCUACAGAAUUUGGCCUACCUAUCUUAGCUGCUGUGUUAACCAUGGAUCAUUUACCACCCAGAAAUGGAAACUGCAAAGGAAAGAAAAGUGAUGGUGCUCCAUGUGUCUCCCCUCUUUUCUGUUAAGUGGCUGUGGCCCAGACCUGGCAAAUUUGUUUUGUAAUUUGAAGCAUAGUAACUAGGCUCAGAGGGAAAACAGAAGGAGCGGUAAGAUGGUCCUCUUCAUCCCACCUUGGUAAAACAGGCAAUGCAAGGGAACAGGGCGAAGGAAAGACCUCAUCUCCCAUGGAAUCUAGCCCCAAAAACAAGCCAUGACAUACCUGAAUGAUGAGCUCUCUGCCUUCUCUGUUUAUCUUCACAUGAUGCAUCUCUCUGUUAGCAAAAUUUCCAGAGUCGAUUGUGAAGAUGAGCAGUCCAUCCUUACUCAACUUGUAUCGAACCUGUAAACUUCCUUAAAAGCAGAACAGAAUUCUAUAAAACCCAUGUCCACAAUGAGAUACUGUUCAAUACCUUUACACAACAUAUAACUCAUUUUCUUUUUAUUAUAGUGAAGAAACAAGGUUAAAAAGUCAAGAAACAGGUAGAGGAGAAAUGAAAGAGUUCACACUUUAAUGAAAAAAAGAAACUCAUAGAAGAGUUUGCCUUCUUACUAGCUAAUAAACUCUGCUGCGGAGAAACUAACUUAAUUGAGUAACUGAGUAUAUCAAAGGAGAGUUUCUGUCCACAAGCCAGACCAAGCAAGGUCUCGGGAGUUGAUCUUCGUACAUUAGUCUGUGAAGGGUUGCUUCCACCAGGGGGCAUGCAGGUCUUGCACUGUUCUGGUAAACUAAUACUUGUAGACUUCACUGUUCCAAGUCAAGGCUUCAUCCAGGCAUAACAGACAAUACAGAAAACAGUGGAAACUGUGACAACUGUAACUUCAUUUCAAGCAUUUGAAGGCCCAGACUCGUUAUGAUUUAAAGGUGAUGCAAGAAAAGAUACACUGUACAAGAUGUCAUAACAUAAACAACUUUGACCUUGGUUUUCUAAACUAUUUGAAAAAUAAUUAAUUUUAAAACAUGUCUCAAGUAUCUCUUCUAGUCUUUGUAGAAAAAAAUAAAAUCUGAUAUAAACAACAGUAGCAUAACAAAUCAAAAUGCGUAAGAAAACAAGGAAUUCAAUAUGAAUUCUUAUCUUUCACAAACGACCAGAGGAACUACAGACACAAAAUUUAGAAGGGAAAAAAAGAAUCAGAUAAAAUCCUUUCAAGCGUACUUUUCUGUGAAUAAAGCAACAGAGAGAAAAAAAAAAUAGUAAGCUUUUUUGGGGCACUUUUUAUGCAUCAGCAACCAAAAUAGGUCGAACAAUGGCAGUACUACAGAGUUAAAAAGCUCUUCCAAGGCUACUUUCUUAGUGUCUCAAAGGAUAAAGCAAAGGAUGGCAUUGCAACCUUGAGCCAAGGGUCCUUCAUUCAUUCCCUGUUCUGAGAACCAUUGUAAAAACUCUUAUCUCCUUCUAUUUCAGUGCUUACGACAGCGCAAAGCCAGACUAUUCCAAGAGCCACUAGGUUUUGCAGGCUACAGGAAACAUUACCAGUGCUGAAUGAAGGGGACUGACUGACUCAUUGUCACCGAGGGAUGCUUUCACACAGCGUUAGCUCUGAGACUGGCCUCAGUGUUCGCAGAGGCAAUGUUUGUGUACAAGUCGCAAGGCAGCACGAGCAGCCUGAGGCAUGGCUGCAUGAGCUGUCACAAGUGCGUGGUGCACGGUGACGUUGUUGAGAGGCAACAAGGGGCUGCUCUCCUCAUUGCAUAGCAUGGACACAACUUCUCUUUUUAGCCUUGCAAAUUCUCCUGCAAUAAGGUCAACUCUCCCGUCCUACAGGCUACUGCAAAACCACUUUACGAGUUAAAAACAACGUAUGAAGUUCCUGCAGAGGGGGAAUUUUGCAACCUCUAUAAAACUCACAGUUAUUGCUAAUAAUUCUUCCAAACCAGACCCAAAGUACAGUUAAGAUCACGGAACCAUCAAGUCAUUAAAAAAAAAAGAUCACUCAGAUGUUUGCUGCUGUGGCCGCAUCCUUUUCUAACAGUCCAUACAAUCCCAUUUGAGCCACCAUCUCUUUCUGGGCUUUGCAGGACAGAGAGAAAGUUACCAAACAUGAGUGGGAAAACAAUAACACAUUAUUAGGAUGAAGGCUUUUUAGCUGAUUGAGAGGUUUACUGGAUAGGGUGAGGUUUAAAAAAAAAGAAAAAAAAAAAAGAAAGGAUUUAAAGGCAUUUUCUCACACAUAUCAGAGGGGAAUAUUUUUGAAGAUAUCAAGGUCAGUAACAACUACUAAAUUAUUCAGUGUGAUAUUAUAGGUUCAGCUGCUUCGAUUCAUACUGCAAAGCUCCUGUCCCCUCACAGCCAGGCCAAGGAGCUGCUAUUUAUCACCAUUCUUGUUGCACUUACAAGUCCAAACUUAAAUCAUAAUCCCAUUUUCUGCUACCAAACGAAAGACACAUCUACAGAGAAUAAAAAUGUAGAUGUCUUAUAAUCACUUUACUCCAGAAGGACAUGAGAAAAGAAGCCAUAGUGCAAAGAAGUUAAGGGACCUUUUCAGACCUGCUUGUCUGGGCAGCAGGAGAGUCAAUAAAAGUGGAAAGGUUGUCUGACCCCGCACGCCACAGCUGAGAUGACCACACGGAAUAAGCUGAAAUGCAUUGUGAAAGAGAAACAGAUCGAUUCUAACUGAAAAUCAUGUCCCAGAACUCUAUCAGCCACUCAUACACCUCUUACCUGAAGCCUUUGAAAGGGUCUUAGUGCAGAAAAUGGAGCACGACCUUGUACUACUUGAUUAGUUUCUAAAUGUAAAUGCACUUGUCUGCUCUUGUUGAAUGUUAUGGUCACACCAGCAUAUGAAAUAUAAACAGCGCUCCUAUGGUCAGGCAAUCAAUGCAGUAAACAGCACUUUUGCAUUCAAAGACAGCCAUCAGAUAUUGUGAUCUAUCUCAACUCUCAGACAGGGAUUUACCCUUUGUCCUACAGAGAGAAACUCCAUUUUAGAGCAGAAAUCAUCCUUUCCAUUUGCUGGGAGACACUGGAGCAGAUUCUUGAUGUUCAUUAAGAACACAUCUUAUCUACCAAUAGUGGUACAGUUUUACCUUAAAUUGUUUAAAGAGAUGAAUGAAUAGCAUCUCAUCAAUUCCUUUAAAUUCCAAUAGCAGCUUUUUUUCUUUUUCUUUUGAUUGCUGUUCUUCAGAAUCAUUUUAUUCAAGUUGGCGUUUUUCCUGCAGUCAACUCUGCAUUAAUACAAAUCAGGAAUACAUGGGCUUGCGUCUCCAGAGAUGUUUGGGAAUUUACAUUAGUGUAGCUGAGAGCUAAUUUUGGUAUGCACUUAUCAAAACUUUUUACGUUGGCAGCAUACAGAAUCACUUCUCUGGCAGAACACACAUUGCCAUUUUGCUAUUUGACAGGCAAAAUAAAUGGGUUAUUAAUUAAAUAGUUAUUAAGCAUUUUUUUUGUCCCCUGAAUUUUGAUUAUCCGGUCUGCUGAAUUUAUCCAUUCACAUCAUCCCAGUGUCACUAAUCACAAAUAAAAAUCUGUGUAUAUAAACCAGCUCUGUUCUCACUGUUGCAUCAUUUCUGCUUCACAAUAGGGAUUCACAAUAACCAUACUCAGUGCAAUUUCUGGCAGUCUUGUUGCAGUCAUGCUUGUCAACCUCUUUUCAGUUCCCUGCGUCUGGGCAUGCACACCUGGAGUGCCAUAAUGCUCAAGCAAUGCACUGCAUGUUGUGUUUUCUUCCUUCUCUAAUAUAUGUGGAAUUGCUGGAGGCAAUUUCUAUAAAGUCCAUAAAAGAGAGCGGGAAGAAAAGAGAGAGGUAUCAUGGCUUCAGCCUCAGGCAGGGGAAUUUUACGGGGCAUAUUACCCCAGCAGUACUAGGUAAGAGUAGAUUCUCACUUGAUUAUUACAGCCACCCCUUUUAGCUUUGAAUUCUGUAGGUAAGUACCACUGCAGACUGCAGAUCAGCACGGAGAUGCGCUGUGCUACCUCCAGAACAGCCUGAGAGUGGAGCAGGCACAGUUCAGCCACACCGUGACCUCUUUUCUCCACUUCUGGAGGAAACGAGUCCACAUGGGCUGCAAUGCUACUAUGACUAGGCCACAGCCAGUAUCAAAGAUGGCUUGCUGCACACCACUGUGGCUUUCAGUCUGUAACCUGCAGUAGCAUAAUCCCUGACUGUAGGGCUGAACGGCAUUGCUGUGCUCCUAUCAAGCAGCUACAGAGCCAUUUCAACAAGAUUUCUGAGGUCUCCCCUUGUGCUGAGGAAAGUUCCAGGAAACAGAGACCACAGGGCAGUAUUUAUGCCGUCCCAUACUGGUGAAUAGGUAGGGGAUGCUGUUUCUGAAACAGAACACUCAAGAAACUGUUUCAGUGGUGAUGGAGGCCAGGGUUACUGCUUGCCAGCAGUACACUAAUGAUCAUCGUCAGCAUAACCAACCACCAGGCAGCUACAGGAAUAGCGUGGUGCUUUCCAACUGCUGCUGUCUUUUUGCUGAGGAUGAGAACGAUGAAGUACAAGCUCUUGAAACCACUGUUAAUACAAGGAUACUAUGCAGGUAUAGAGACUUCAAAGUGCUUAGCCUGAAGAAAAAUGUUAUUUGUAAGCCAGGCUCUUGUCACACAUGUCACCAGGACUACAGGUCUCGUGUCAUUUUGUCACGAAGAACCAAACAGCAAGAAAGGGAAUGACAUGCCCUUGGGGUCUGAGACUCCUCUGCAGGACUUUCACUUACAGAAACAGGUUUUAAAUGAGCCCAGAUUGAACCCAACAUCUAUAACAAUUUCAAUAGCAGUUUUUAAUGACUUAAACUGGCUGGAGCAGCUGGCAAGAAAUCUUGCACCCCUCAGAGGAGCUGAGGUUAGUCCAGGGAGCACGUGUAGCUGGCAUACGUAAAAUGUACAACUUUAUCACUAUCAUAUAACUCGGGAAAAAAUCAUUUAAAUCAAGGCAGCUGACAAGUCCAGUUUGAGAGAAAUAUAUAUGUAGAAAAUUAAACAUUUUAUUAGGAUGAGGACUUUAGAAUAUGCUUACACGUCCCACUGCAACAGAAGGACCCAGAUGUUAAGGAGCAACAUAACCUCAUGCAAUUGGCUCAAACUGGUAGUCAGUUGCUCAUAACAGACAGUGAGGUAUUAAGGAUGCUACCCCUACCCACCUCCAGCACAUAUCUGAGCUGCUGCUAGAAGAAAAAAUAAAGAAGGAAGGCAUCAAUUAAACAACUGGAGGGAAACAUUAGUGAGGCUCUUGAUAUUACAAUUAUGAAAAAAAUAAAGUAUUUAGCCCAGAAAGCCAUUUGAAACUCAUCAAGUGGAAAUGUUGUUUGUUCAUUGCUGAUUGCAGAAUAUCAAAUGACAGUUUUCUGUCAUCUCUACCAGGAAAUACCUCUCUGGCAACUUGUACAAGUUCAGUGUCCCUCUUUAUAGCCUAGAUAUUUAAAAAUGAACAACUGCUUUCUUGGUUAGGAGCAGCUGGCUAAGAAACCUGCUCCUUAAUUAGCAGCUUCUCCCCAGGGAUAUUUACUCAGUAAAUUUACUCUUCAGUGGAAGUGCUGCUGGUAAUUCAAAGAACAGGGCCCCUCUCUUCAGCGUCCACUGACUUUUAACUAAGAAAGUACUUGUACAUUUUUAGAAGGUGACUCUUGCUAUUUGCUUUGCUCAGAGAAAACAAAGAGGAGAAGGUGUGAAAUCUGUUUGCUGAUACGAUUGGUUAUCUGCAGCAUUGGUUUAGAUGAGACUGUUUUAUGGGGUUAAAAAAUAAAUAAAUCAAAGCUCCCAAUUUUUUGUAAUUUCUCAUAGUAGCGGAAAAGAAGGUUCUUAUUUGAAUGCUUUUCACUCAGAACUUCCCACUUAAAUACAUUCAGGACUUAGGGAUCACAUUCAAGCUAUCCUGUAUCAACAGCACACUUUCACAUUGCAUUUCUUCAAUUUGGGGGCGGGGGGAACCCACCCAAAACAAAACCUGUACCAAAACAAGAAGAAAUAAGCCUAACAAACCACUCACCCUCCCCCGACAGAAAACCAACCCCCCAAAAAACAGGAAAAGAUUCUGCCUGAAGGUCCAUGACCUCAGUUUACUUUGCAAUUCUGCUAGGCAUCUGGAACCAGACUGGGAAUAUCACUUAUACGUCAGCAAAUGUGGCCAGUUCCCUUACAUGACUGACAAAUGAGUAUAACCUUGUAGGAUUUUCAUUCCCAACAGCCGCCAGUUGGCUCAACACAAGCUGACCAGCAAUUAAAAAGGAAAUGGCAGAUGCGUCUUGCUCCAAAGCUACAGAACACUGCAAGUAUUGAAAUAUUGUAGGUCUAAAAGAUGAUGACAGUCAAAGAGCUCAUCAUACAGUGGCUUAUACACCAAGGGUAUUCCAAUGAUUUUAAGGGAAAUGUUCUUCUAAACAAAACAACCCAUAUUCAUGCGUAUACGGCUGGAACAAUAAUGGGAACAGGGCUAACCAAUGGAUGUGGAAUAAUACUAGUCACUGCCACCGCUCUGAAUCUACUGGAUUGAUGCCUUCUGACAUCAUGUUCCUUCUUUGUGCUCCAGUUUAUCUAUUGGUGAAUUAGAUGAAUGCUCAUAUCCUUUGGAAAAUUACGGGAAACCUCUGGAUAAGCAGCUUCAAAUAAUAUUAUUAGUCAUUAACAUAAUCUCCAGCUACUUCUUGGUGAAUUACUGAUUACAUUUUCUUUAACAUGUUGCAACAUAAUUAAUUACUACUUUUCCCCACAGAUAACCUACUGUAAAGGUGAAGAGAAGAGCUCAAAACACCAGACACAGCUAAAUCUCCCUGAAAAUAUGUGCUUUCAGAUUGUGAGAUUUAUUCUGUAAAAUUUUAAUCUAUACCUCUUCUAUACUUCCUUUGGAAUUUUAAGUCACUUUAAGAUCCUCCAUUAACAAAAACUAUCUGUAUAAUCUGAUGCUUAGAUCUCUCUUCCCAUCAUUAAACGCACAAUGGAUGACAGUCUUCUCAUGGUCAGACACACAGUAGGCCCUAUGGUUUACUCAUCUUAUCUUGCUGGGCUUUGAUUUCACAGCGUACUUUUCAUUUAAGACUGGUGUAGCAGCCAGGAUUGCAUAAAGAUAGAACAGAACUUUGUGGAUUAAUGGCUUUCUGUAGUUAAUGAUCUUUGUUUGUGCUAAGCUUUAACAGCAUUCCUUGCUGGUCAUGAAUCUCUUGGAAAUGCUCUACUCCUCUGGUAAAUAAGUCCAUCUGAGCACUGCCUAUUUCAUUAGUUUUGCCAGCCUCUGUGACUGCAGAAGUUAGAUCCUCCAACCAGAGAUCCUCUCCUGAUGAUUAUAGCAAACUCCCAAGGGAUAUAUGUGAGUUUCACAUAACAAUCCUAUUACAAGAAUCAUAUAAUGGCAGUAUUAUGUCUUUUCUUAGCAAAAUGAAUGCUUAUACAUAUGUUUGCUGUUUUAUCUUCUGGAAUCUCACAUAGAAUCACAGAAUGGUUGAAGCGGGGAGACAGCUGGAGGUCAUCUGGUCUAAACCCUGCUGAAGCAGGUCCAUUACAGCUUGCAGCCCCGGGCCAUGUCCAGGCAGCUUUUGAGGAUCUCCACAGAGAGAGACACCACAUCAGCCUGUUCCACUGCUGUCACCCACGCAGCAUUUCCUGCUGUUCAGGAGGACCUUCCUGUGUUUCAGGCUGCUGCUUUUUGUCCACUAGGCACAAAUGAAAACAAACUGGCUCUGUCCUCUUUGCACCUUUGCUUCAGGUUUGGAAUCAGAGAAGUCCAGCCACACUGAGAGUGGAGAAUGCAUGGGGAAGCAUUUUCUAGACAACAUACUUCAUCAUAUUCACGUUGCAUUUGAUUACUUGCAGGGGGAAGAAUGCAGAAGGGAGAGACACUAACAAUUUCCAUCCUAACAUAUCCCCCUCCCCACCCCCAGCAAUUACUAUCUUUAGGUAUCAAGCCGAGUGCAUUAUAAUACUAAGUUAUUGGUAAUUUACUGAAAUCAUGUAAAUUAGCCAAAAUGCACAGUGAAAAUUCAGCGAAAGAAAGAAAGAAAGAAAGAAAAUUCUUGGCAGUAGCUUCCCAUGAUGUGAAUAACUUCUGUGGACUGACACACUGAAAAGGCUAAUUAGAGCUGUUUAGCCAUUUUCUGUAGCUUCGUAAUGGGCACUAUUAUUUGAAAGUUCUACAGCACUGUUAUUGCAAUUACUGCAGCACAGUUAAUCUUUUGGAUGUGGGAUCAAUGCAGCAGUUAGAGCAAGCAAGCAGACUCUUCUCCCCUAAAAUAGGCCCAGUACCCAGCAGAGAUGAUCUCCAAGUGGUGACCAGCUUUGUUUGCGUAACUCUGUGUAGCAUCAGUGCCCUUCUAUAGUGUUGGUACUGCUGAGAACUAUUUAUAAAUGAACUGGACUUUCUCCAGUUACUGCUUUGACAACCCUGGAGGGUACACCCAACCACAGCGAUUCUGCUGCACCACAGCUCUGUCCACAGUCACAAAAUAGUCGAGUUAUUCAGAUACUUCUCAAGUGUGAAAGAUCUCAAAGCACAUGACCUUGUGGCACUGCUCAUAAGAGAGCACAACUUUAAUUAAUUAAACCAGAUUCCUCACCAUUUGAUUGUAAUCUUUUGAUUAAUCAGUGUUAAAAAUACAGGUAUUCAAGGGCAUAUAUCCUCUGAAAAAAAUGCUAGAAAAAGUCCUCUUCAAAAUGGCUCUAAGUUAAAAAUACGUAUACAUCUGUAUACAAUACAUAUUCAUUUAUAUGUACAUGUAAUUUAAAAUUCCAUGGAUAUAAUAGAUAAAACUGGAGGGGAGAAGACAAUGCUACGUUACUGUGCACAUUUUCAAAGGAGCACGUGUGAUUUAGAAGACCAAAAACUAACAAAUGGCAGAAGGAAUCUCUACUGAGACACCUUUAAAGACAUCAACUUCUGAAAACUUGCCCAUAAGAUUUCAUGGCAUGAAUUGACCAGAUGAGAUAAGAAUAUUGUCAUGUAGGUACAUUUAGGUGGGAAUUGCUUCUAUAAAUAUUAGUUUCCAGGUGCUACAGAGCAUCUAAUUUUAGAGAAAGAGAUCAUCUGUAUAGAUCCAGAAUGGCAGUUUAUACACUGACACGUGGUGAUACCCAACAUGGGUUGUACCUUUACCUCCUUCUGAGCACCUGUCCUCUACAACACCGAGCACUGGAAAGGCUUUCUGCCUGACUGACAACGUGCUGCAUGCAUAAAGCAAUGACCGAAAAUGAGGAUAUUUUAUUUCCAUUCCUAAAUCUGAAACUGACCUAAUGGAUAACUCUAAGUGAAUCAUUUUACACCCAUAAUGCUGGUGUCUCAAUCAAUAUGUACUGUAAGUUCUAAUGAUAUGACCUUCUUUACAGACUGACAUUGGAAACUGCCUUGGGGUUAAAUGUGAUUAUUUAUUAAUUUUACUGAAGCCAAUUGAUUUUACAGGGAAUAUUUCACACCUGACUAUACAAGCUGUCUACACAAGUUCAUUUUCACACAAGCCCCUUUCAAUACAGUCCAAACAUAACCAACCCUUGUAGUUAAUUUUACUUCUUUUAUGUUAAAUAUUUAACAUGAGAAGCUUAAAAUACCAGGAACGUUUUUCUUAUUGCUAUUUCUUAUUAACUACUAAUUUGCAGGUAUUUUGUGGAUAAUAGAAAAGGGAACUAACAGGUUGUCUCAGUAGUAGCUUGAAAAAUACUUUAAAAAGUUAGCUUGUGUAGCACUAAAAUAUAUACACAGACAUAUAGCUUCUUAACAUGUGGAGUCUUAGGAUUAUGGCAAAGAACACUACUACUCGUAUUUUGAAUGAGAAUGUCUGUUUCAUCAGGAGACUAACAUUCAUGUCAGUUAUCCAGUAUGAACCUACCUAGGUCCGAGUAUACACUGCCAAUGCUCAGCAAAUACCUUGAAAACGAGCCAAUAAGAGAGAAGGAAUUGCACUCACUUUUAAUGCUACAAAGGACAUUAUUAUUCAUAGUCUAGUAACUUUAUGGCAAGCAUAAACCUCUUGGAGGAAGAAAGAGUAACAUAUCUUAACAUUAUUUUCGUUGGAAUAAUUUCAAUUCCAACAAGACUAAAAAAUAAGAGGAUACGAGAUUUUUUUAAAAAUUACUGAAUUUGUGACAAAAUGCAGAGAAUAUACAUGACUAAAAUGACUGUCUUGACAGAAAGACACAAGUCAGACACAGAGCAACUCUUAAAAGAGACUUUCAAGACAUAAUCAAGGUCACCUAGUUAUCACCAUAAUUCUUUGAGCACAGUGCUACAUUUUAUGGUUCAGGAUUUUGGAACCUAACAGCUCACCAACCCUUUAAACUAAUGUUAUCUUCAUUUUAGAAGUGAUUAGAGAGAGGUACAGAGAUGAGAAAGGCAGCACUGUCUAAAUUGACUCUUGAUUCCGAGUGUGCUAAUUUAAGAAGUGCUGAGAAUCUGCAUCUCUUUCUGAACCAAAGAGGAGAUCUGCGAAUGGUGCAGCUGCCAAAAUGCAAGACUUACUGUAAAAUCUAUGAUCUUGCUGAGCUGUUAAAAGAGAUCUCAGUGUCCUGACCCCAGCUCCUUUCCCAACCACCAUCAAAGAGUUCCAAACUCCAGAACAGAGACCUCACAACUGCAGCUUGCUGUUGGUAGUAUUUCAUCAAUAAACUGCAAUUGGCUCAUGUUUCUAAGGUUAUUUUACACUACAUUACUGUGAUCUGAAUGGAUAUUACUUUUUCAUUCACUUUAAGGCUAUUUCUGAUUGCCCGAUUGGAAUAAAGAGACCAGAGUGUAACUGGGCAGUAGAUUCCAAGUUUCACCUCAGCAGGGACUGACCUCUCCAACCAUGAAUCUACACACUGGGAUAUUCAUAUAUCUAAAAAUUAUGAACAUUGACACUUGCCUGUGAGAGCAAAGUGGCAGACGGGUCCAGGACAUUUGGAUACUCAUUCCAUUCCAACUCAAAUGCUGGCCAUGUUACAUAACCAGGAGAUAAGCUACAGCAAAGUCCAUAUAGAGAAUAAAAGGUGUUGGUUGUUUUCUUUUUUCUUUCCCCUUUAAGCUGAUGGUACUUGAGACCCCACUAUUAUGGAAUGUGUAGUUUCGUUGUGGUCUGGGUCAUUCAGUCAAAUGUGCAUAUUCAAGCACAUAGCAUAAACUUUCUAUUGUUCUGCCACAGGUUGGUGACUCACCAGUAAGCUUACUCAUUGUUUCCAGCACUCCAGUGCCUGACAUCUCUUGAAUAAUUCAAACAUCCUCCUUUGAGAAGGAUGAUGUGUGGCUGGACUGAGUUUUCUGAAUGCACUGUGAGAACUCAGGAGCCAGAUUCAUACUGAGAAUAUGUAUGGUCUAUGCCCUAAAAUCUUUAUAUCUUUUCAGAAAGUCCCCAUGCCGCAUGCCUUUUAACAACUAAUGGAGUUAAACCUUGUGUUCUCCACUGCAAACCUAGAAGAUCUAGACAUUCUCUGGCUUUAAUAUUCAUAGGUAUUGGCCAUAUUCCAUUGCAAUAAUGCAAUGAAGAGCAAUAAACAAGGCAAGAAAAAAUGCAAAAGAUAAAAUGAUAAUAUAUUUCUGCACCAAGUGUUGUUGUACAGUCAUGGAAUUUCUCAUUCCCUUAUCUUGGAGAUCUAAUGGAUCUCACUGUGGAAUAAAUAGCAAGGAAUUGCCAUUGUACAGUCUUGCCAAAUGGAAGUCAAAAAACAUUUUAAGCCCCAACAACAUGAUUAUUCAAAGACCAAUUAGGCAAGUGUAGCAUCGAAUGCCAAAUAAAACGACAUAAACAAGACUGAUAGCUAUUUACAUGAGCUGAAUACCACAAAGCUGAUAAAGUUGCAGAUAGCAUUCUCUCAAAAAAAGUUCACAAAAGUCUCACUAUGGUAGCAAAUCAAGAGUACUUACCGUUCUUGGAGAGAAUCACAGCCAAAUAUUCAUGGAAGUAGGUGUUGAUGUACAGCAGAAGGCUUGGAGCGUGUGCCGUAAGAAAGCUAAAUGCAAUAUUUUCCUUGGACGUGAUGGCAUCCGCAUAAAUGGCAGAACUUGAAGUGCUUGCAUUUUUCGUGACAGGAUAAGGUUCUUGGAAAAUAUAGGUAAUAGAAGUGCCAGCUUCAAAUAAAGCAGAAACCUCUGAAAGAAUAGAUAAACCAAAGGAACAGUUUCAGCUACUGCAUUUUCAGAUGUUUCAGACAGGUAUGCACACAAACGGGCUGCCUCAGAAAGAGAACACUGCAAAAUGCUCGACCCAGCUGACAUUACCAUUCCUUGAUUUGGAUGAGCAGAAAGCCCUUCCUCACUUACUAUAUGUUUGACACAGAGAAGGGCAGUAUAUGCAGACAGGCAUAUAUAUUCAACUACUAUAGUGCUUGAAUCAUUGCUCUACAAAAUGGAACAGCCCAAAAAGUUUGUUAGUCAAAUAAAUUAUCACUUUUACCAACUUCUGACAGUUAAUUUGUAAGGCAAUAUUCUCUAUCUUCCCCCCACAGAAAAGACAACAACAUAAUUGUCCUUUCCAGUCUUCUUUUUAAGCAAAAUCAUCAUUAAAGCAACACAUUAAUCCAAAGAAAGUCACUGAGGGAGAGCAGCAGCUCCAAGAGAAACACCUGUCAUUAGAUGCUCAGAACACAAGAACUCACAGUGUGUUUUCACUACGCACAACAUAAUUUGGCCACAAAAUAUAUGCAAGUGACAACAGCUGUUUUCCAGUAAAACAGAUCUACCUCUAUAGCAGCUUUCCUGAACUUGAUUUAUUUUUGAUAACUCUUCUUGUGGCCAAGUUUAGAUGGGCUGAAACAGGGAUCACAACAAACAUAAAAAGACUCCCCCCUUUUUGUCACACCAUUGCUUAGAUCUCUGUAAAGAAAAGCUCUCAUGACUUUCUUAAGGUGGACAAAACUGGAUGAAGUUUGAAAUCAAGCAAAUGAAACAUUCAGACAUGGGCAGAGAACUGUCAGGGAAACUUUCAGCCCUAUUGGUAAAUGUCUGGACCAAGUUAUACCCAACUGAAUAGAGGAAUCAUAGUGUGAUGCAGUUGGUAAUUUAACUAGCACUAUUUUAAUUUCUGAGUACUGAAGUCAUCAAGUGGAGGAAUUCAAGUCCACUUAAUGUAAACACUUAAUGCUCAAGGGAAAACAUAUUAGAACAUCCUCUCAUAGUAUGGCGGACAACAAGCUGAUGUGGGUGAAAUUGUGUUACAGACAUUCAGAAACCCCUAAAGACUUCAGAUCAAAGCUCUCUGCCUACCUUCCUUGCAGAAGGGCCCUUCAUAGGCUGAGCUGGUGCAAUCACAAGAAUACCCAUUAUACUUCUCCACGCAUUUUCCUCCAUUAUGGCACAGGUUACCGUAACUACUGCAGUGCCCUGGACAUCCGGGUUUAACACCAGGAGUCAUUUUAGCUCUUUCUUCAAGGUCAAGUUUCUGUCCGUUUAAGUGCAGAGAUCGAAUACAUCCCAAAAAGCCCUUUUGUCUGGAAGCUGUUCCUCCUGAAACAAAGAAAAAAAUCAAAUGCAUUCAUUGAACAGUCCACAAAGUAGUCAAAGGCCUGAAGAUACAAAUACAGAGGUACAAACAGGAAUCCAUCAAACUUUAAACUAUUACCUAUUAUGUAUCAGUGCACACUGUAGCAAAAGAUGGACAUAUGGACAGCCCAGGAAACUAAGAGUCUCUUCAAGAAAGGACUAAAGCUCUGUGUAAGUUUCUAGUUGCCAUUCUUUUCUGCCUUGUCUACCACCCUGUUAGGUAUUUAAAAUGCAGAUUCAUUUGGUGAAAUACUUCUUUAACAUAUGUCUGCAUAUCGUCUAAUACAUGAGAAAUCCAAAACUCUUUUUUUUUUAAUUUCUUGUCGUAGUACAAAGUAUAAAUAACGCCCUAAUGCCAACAGCAGAUGAGUUACACAUGCUGAUGAGUCCAGAUAGCGCGGAUGAAUCAUGUUCAACACCAGGUUUGCUGGCUGAAGGGAAAUGACUUUAGAGUCAGAAUUUAUGCAUGACUGAUCAACCUGAUGUUGCAUGUGAAUGUUUGUUGUAGACAAGAAAUGUGAGUUUGGGUUACAGUUGCAAUUUAUUUGAACUGUUAAACACAACUGCAUCUCCUCAUGAAGAACAAAGAUGUAUGGAUUUCAGCAAGAGCACGGUCUAGUCUCAACAGACUAUGUUCUUAUCAGCCCAUUGAAAUUGCUGCCAGUGAAAACAGUUUGCCUUAAGAGAUGGUCUCCCACAAAGAUUAUAAUUACUGAUGAUAGACUGUGAAAAUAUCAACAUGUUUAUUAUUGUAGGCUUUGUUUGUCAGUUGCCAAUGUUUUACUUCUGAAUUCACUGAAAUUUUGAUUGCUACUGUGAAAUCUAACUCUGGCCGAAGAGUUAAGAGCACUUGUAAGUCUGAAAUGCUAGUUCUAUUGGUGAUGCACCAAUAACUAAGUAAAAAGUAUGAAAAGCUAUCUUUCCAAAUUCUUCUUCUACAAAAGUUUGUUCUAUAUCAAAAUGCAUGAGAUAACAGAUCUUUUGAUGAGUCCUUGCAGAAGAGCAUCUGUUCUCUCAUAAAUUGUUUAAUUAAAACCAGACUUCUGCAAAUGAUGAGAAUGAAAUAGCAGUCUGAAAAGCAAUCUCACCAAAACCCUAUUGUUCUGCCAUAUUAUUCUGACAUAUUUUUCUAUCUGUUACGCUAAUAGCAGAAAUACUGGAUCUGAAUUAGAAUAACUACAUUCUAGAUAGCAUGUGUGAGACAGAUUUACUUUCCACUAAGUUUAUGGUGCCCUUCACAGUGAAACAAGUAUGUUCAAAAUCUUCUUUAGCCAGUUACUCUCUCCAGAUGAACAAAUGUUAGCUCACUUAUUUUAAAGGCCCCCUGAAGACAACAAGUAGGCCUUUUGCAUUUGCUGUACUGUGCACACAUGACCCUUCUCUUUUGAGAUUUUGUUUCAAAACCAAACACAUCACACACGAUUUUUAGUUAUGUCCUUGUAAGAAGGAAUAUUAUUUCUUUCUUUAAAGUUACUGGCUACUCUGUUUUCUUCUGCACAGGAAAUACCCACAGAUAUUACAAGGAUAAAUGACAGUGCAUUAUCCAAAAGGAUGUCACUCAUAUUAAAUGCUGAGAGUGAUUGUAUUGGUCCACUGAAAGGAAUGAUUUUUGCCUGUCCCUUCAGAUCAAGUCUUGUGCCAAACCGGCUUACUGCUGCACAGUUUGGUCAAGCCGACAUAUAGCCUGUAAAUUUGUUUGGGAUUUGCUCUUUGUACUGUGAUUUUUUUAAAUUUAACAGAAGAAAUAUAACCAGGUGCAAGGAUAUCCAGCCUGUUGCUGUGGAUUAGCAGUAUGAAGCAGUUAGAUUCCAAAUAACCUCUAAAAGAAAGUGAGAAAUGGGUUUCCAACUCCUUUAGACCGCUUUAAUAUUUCAACUUGUUUGAUUUUAAGUAAUCCUCAACAUACUGCAAUGAAAGUUUGAUUUUAAGUAAUCCUCAACCUACUGCAAUGAAAAUUAAUUUCUCCCUUUCACUUUGCAUGCACACAGCUAUCUCAGAAGCCUUUCACAUACUCCAAGUGCACCAAUGCUGGCCUUAGGCAGACUGUUUUAAUUCUAAAUUAUUUUAACAAGAGCAGUCACAGAAAAACGCUUACUAGAUAAGUACACAAGUGCCUAGAGAAUUAACUACACAAUAAAUCAGUUAAUUGUACAAACUUUGUUGAAUCUACUCUUAUUGUCUAUGCAUAACUGUUUUCUGUUAACUGAGAGAAAUUAUAAUUUAAUAUACUCAGACUAUAUAGACUAUAGCCAGACUUUUAUAGGAAGUGAUGGAAUAAAACAAAGAAUUGUGAAUUUGAACCCAGUCAUAUUGUGUUGCUAUGGGUAACAGGGAGUUAAAAAGAGAGAGAUUAGAUUUGUACUGUUCUAUUCCGAGUCCCCUCAUUUUGCUUUUAACCUCCAGGUAAGUCCAGAAAGGAAGAGCACAUUUUCUAUCGUUUAUUUUGGAUGGCAUGUGUAAGAAAUUGUUGCAGUAGAGUGAUAGUAAUGUCAGGCAUUGAUGAUUUCUUGCAUAUGGUAUGUGGCAUGCUGACAUGCUCAGCUGGAGCACAUGCUUAAGUUCUGCUCCCCUAUGGGGGAACACAUCCCAAAAACAGAUAUGCAGGGAAGAUGCCAGCCUGGCAAAAUGCAAAAUAGUCAAGAGCAUUGAUUUAAGUCCAUAUCAGAGCAAUGAACAGUGUCAGGACAACCUGAAUGGAGAACAGAUGGUAUGAAAUUCUAAACCUGAAUUCUACCAUUUCUGUGAAAACAGAGUAGUAUGAGGGUAUGGAUCUGAAAUAGCCCUACCAAUUCCUUUUAUACAAUACUAAUGUAUGCAAGAGGCCUUGGGUAAACAAAAAGCGCAACAUGGGUGCAUCUUUUCAUGCAAUGUAAAACAGGUGUGAACUUCUCUACCUGCAGUGUUGUAUAAGCUCCAAAAUGGAAAUAUCUGUGUCUGCAUUAGCAUGCACAUAACAAGUUAUGGCUACUUUGUGCAACUCAGGGCCUUUAAGUGAGAGAGGAAACUUUCUAGCAGGCAGUAUUGUGAAUCUAAGUUAUGCAGUGUCAGUUCUGUAUCAGUAAGACAUGAGUAGAAUUCAGAACUACACCAUCAAAAUGCAGUUUAAGAAUAUUAAACACACCAGUAGUUAGAGAGAAGUACACAAGAGGAAGUUGAAAAUUGAUUUUUAGCCUAGCAGUGUCCCAGGCAGGCAGAAGUUGAAGAACAAGCACAACUCAAAAUUAGCAUAGACACAAAUCACAGUGAAAUUCCUGGACUCUGCCUGUAGUCUCUGGAGAUCGGAAUUUCUCUGCUAGAGCAAUCAUGAUACAGCAACACUGAACUCACUGUCCAAAUACAGUUAGCAUCCUUCUGAGACAACUGAAGCUCACAUCCUUCAGUAUUCAGGACACAUCUUUGCAUUAACUCACAAUCAGUAUUUUCUCCAUACAGAAGGACUGGACCAUUGUUGUGAUACACAAUUUUUUGAUUUAGUUACUUACUUAUACACACGUGGUUUAUUUUUAUCACUGAAUCCAGUCUUUUUAAAUUCCUUUUCCAAAUUUAACGGAGAGAAUAUAAUGUUCUUCCAUAUUUCACAAAAACUGGUAGCAAGGCAAAUUAGAAACGGCAUUACAAUCUUCACUCGGGAAGACUGAAGUGUGAAUUCAGACCUUACUAGACAUAAAAGAGCAAUCCUUUUAUGUGCUUAGUCAUUGGAAAAUCUUCAGCAAAUCCUAAAUAUCCUAAAAUACCAAAGUUGGUCAAUCUCAACAUACCCUUUCAAGGAAAGCCAGGCCUUCUUAACUCCAAUCCUUAGGAAAUAUUUGAAGGCCAAUUAACUUGCUCAGAUCUUCAGUAUCACCGAAUCAGAAGUAAAUGAAGCACACCUCCAAGGCUGCCUACAACUGACAGCUCUUUUAAGAUUUCUGGAGAAGGCUUCUGUUCAACUUCCUUGACAAUAAAUCACAGAAAGUGUGAAAGUUGGCUUGUUUGGCCAACUUUAAAACAAAAUAAAACUACCAUGAACACAAAACCCAAGGAGCAAAAUCAUUCAAUUAUACAUGGUCUUAAAGAUAUUAGAUUCUUGGGUUAGGAUGAAAAAUCUGAGCAAAAUGAACUAAACAACUUGGUCAGAAGACAGGUAGAAACAGCUGAUGAGGAAUUACCUGAUCCAGAUUAGCAGAACUCAUUUAAAUUUAUAUUAGAUGCCAGUUGCCCCCAUAGUAAAAUUUCACAAAAAAAACAAAUUUAUCUUAUAUGUGUGAUCUACUGUAUAUGACUCCCUCAAAGAAGUAGAGACAAAACUGCCACACAUAUACUGUGUAUAUGCCGAUGGCACUCAAGUAACGUGAAAAUGACCACAGUUUGAAUGCUACAGUGGAUCUCCAUUCAAUCAUCAUCCUAACGCUACAUGAUACUAAUAUAGUUCCUUCACUCAAAGGAUCAAUAAAUCCUUCCAAAAGAUAAAUAAACUAAAUUAAUUCUUGACAUUGAGCUUUAUUUAUGAGAUUUACAAAAUGUAUGAAUUGAUUCUGGAGAAGAAUCAAGAAAAAAAAAAAAGAGGUUAUAUCUUAAUGAGUAGCUAACUCCACUAUAGAAACAAGGAGAUUAAAGUAUAUUUGGAACAUUUUUAAGACAGCAAAACAUGUCAGUUAGAUUAUUAAUUAAGAAUGUGCAUACUAAUUGUGGAAACAACUUAAUCACUCUCAGUAUGCAUAAUGUUGCAGAAACAAAUGUUGUGUGUUAUGGGGGGGAGAGAAGAGUACUAUUAUGUGCUUCUGCUUCUUUCCUUUAAAAAAAAAUCAAUGUUGUUUAUGUAUUUAUUUUUCAAAUGUAAUAAAAUUCUGUUGCUGUGGUUCAGGUAUUAAAUAAGUUGCUUUCUAUUAGAGACUGAAAUGAGACCUUUAGUAGAGACAAAUGACUCCACAUCUGAGUAUUGUUGGAUUUCUGCCACCUUUCCCUGAAACACCUGGAGACAAUGUUAGAAUCAAAAGACUGUUCAGGUUUCCAUCUCUUCUGUUUGUGCUUAGAAAAACUCAGAAGGUUACAGACAUUUCUGACCUUCAGUAUGGCUUUCUGUAGUGGAUUUAAGGGCCAACAUUCAACUCUUAAAAGCAUCAGUGUUUACUGAACCUUUUGUUCAGAGUUCAGUAAAUGUGUAGACAGAUAACUGAAUGCAGUCAAAUUACUGCACAGUGAGAAGUUUUCAUCCCUCAGCUGAGAAGAAGUAACUAUGCCCUAGAGUUUACUGCAAAUUUUUCCCUGUAAAAUCAGGGAAAACAGGUUGGGAUGGAAGUCACUGCUGGAAAUCAACUAGUCCAAUCUCUUCUUCAAAACCCAGCUACAUUCAUUGUUAGAUCAUGUUGCUCAGGGCCUUUUCCAAGAAAGUUUUGAUCAUUUCUGAGGAUGGAGAUCUCACAUUCUCUUUGCUUCAGUGCUGCACUGCUCUCAUUGUGAAGAUCAUUAUUUUCCUUCCUUUGCUGCAGCCUGUGGGCUACACCUUUGUUCAUACAGCCCAGCCUGUGGUCAGUCUUCACCUCUGCAAGGGCACACUGUAAAAUUCACUUAACUACCAAGACCAACAGGACCAUUUUUAGACAGUGGCUAACCAUCCCAUCAAUCCCCAGCUUGUCUGGAUGCAACACUUUUGCUCCAGGUACAGGGCUUUGCAUUUGUCUUUGUUGAUAGAAGUUUCUGCUGGCAUGUUUCUCAAGUUUGUUGGGGUCCUUAACUACCCUGGAUUUCCAUGAUGCAAUUCAGUGAUUAUGUCACAUUAAAGUCACCGUGAAGUUGGU